GACAGAGGGUGCAAACGUUGUUCGGAAUUACUGGGCGUAAAGCGUGUGUAGGCGGCUACGUAAGUCGGAUGUGAAGGCCCCAGGCUCAACCUGGGAAGUGCACUCGAUACUGCGUAGCUUGAGUAUCGGAGAGGUUGGUGGAAUUCUCGGUGUAGAGGUGAAAUUCGUAGAUAUCGAGAGGAACACCGGUGGCGAAGGCGGCCAACUGGACGAAUACUGACGCUGAGACACGAAAGCGUGGGGAGCAAACAGG
rnacentral:rRNA from 1 species